GAUUCGGAUGCUCAGUCAUUGUUUCGGAGUGAAAAACCUUAAGAGGUCACAAUACUAGCGACAAGAUUGAGCAGGAGUCGACUCAGAAAGGAGUUGGUUCUCGAAUGGUUCGGUGAGUAACACUCAGGCAGGAGGACUGCGAGAAAGCAGUGAUUGUUCAUGGUGGAGAAAGGAGGCAACCUGUUUUUUCGUUGUGAGAGCAGGAGACGAAGAGGAGGAGAUAGAGGUCAUCGGAGGCGGCGAAGUCUGGCCAUCGGGAUUGAAUCACGAUUUGUAUUUGUCAUUCUCUCUUUCGACUUCUUUUGUCGGAGUUGAAUCGUCGAACUUUGGGUUUGUCGAGAUCGUUGGAGUUCGUUGCAUGCAAACGGUGGUUCUUAGUAUAUUGUCGGUGUCGUCCGACUGAAAUUUAGGCACGAGUCUCGCUUGUUGACUGAAUUCGUAAGAACUUCCUUGUUUCUUUUUCAUCUUUUGUUCUUUGUUUCUUGUUUGUACGACAUCGAAUAAUUGAAGUAAGACUCGUAGCGAAUGUGAGGGAACCUUUAUUUACAACAUCUAAAUGACAUGAUUAUGUAAUAUUUUUCUGGAUAUAAAUUAUUCAAAUAAAAAUUGAAAAAUUUCCUAUUUAA